rnacentral:rRNA from 1 species
AACGAACGCUGGCGGCAGGCCUAACACAUGCAAGUCGAACGCCGUAGCAAUACGGAGUGGCAGACGGGUGAGUAACGCGUGGGAACAUACCCCUCGGUUCGGAAUAACUCAGGGAAACUUGAGCUAAUACCGGAUACGUCCGAGGUUUUAAUCGGCCUUGGAGAAAGAUUUAUCGCCGGAGGAUUGGCCCGCGUCUGAUUAGCUUGUUGGUGAGGUAAUGGCUCACCAAGGCGACGANCAGUAGCUGGUCUGAGAGGAUGAUCAGCCACAUUGGGACUGAGACACGGCCCAAACUCCUACGGGAGGCAGCAGUGGGGAAUAUUGGACAAUGGGCGAAAGCCUGAUCCAGCCAUGCCGCUUGAGUGAUGAAGGCCUUAGGGUUGUAAAGCCCUUUUGUUGGGAAAGAAAUCCUGCCGGCUAAUACCCGGUAGGGAUGACGGUACCCAAAGAAUAAGCACCGGCUAACUUCGUGCCAGCAGCCGCAGUAAG